rnacentral:rRNA from 1 species
GAUGAACGCUGGCGGCGUGCCUAAUACAUGCCAGUCGAGCGAACAGACGAGGAGCUUGCUCCUCUGACGUUAGCGGCGGACGGGUGAGUAACACGUGGAUAACCUACCUAUAAGACUGGGAUAACUUCGGGAAACCGGAGCUAAUACCGGAUAAUAUAUUGAACCGCAUGGUUCAAUAGUGAAAGACGGUUUUGCUGUCACUUAUAGAUGGAUCCGCGCCGCAUUAGCUAGUUGGUAAGGUAACGGCUUACCAAGGCAACGAUGCGUAGCCGACCUGAGAGGGGGAUCGGCCACACGGGAACUGAGAAACGGUCCAGACACCUACGGGAGGCAGCAGUGGGGAAUCUUCCGCAAUGGGCGAAAGCUUGACGGAGCAACGCCGCGUGAGUAAUGAAGGUCUUCGGAUCGUAAAACUCUGUUAUUAGGGAAGAACAAAUGUGUAAGUAACUAUGCACGUCUUGACGGUACCUAAUCAGAAAGCCACGGCUAACUACUU